CCUACGGGUGGCUGCAAUUAGGAAUCUUGCACAAUGGGGGAAACCCUGAUGCAGCGACGUCGCGUGCGGGACGAAGGCAUUCGUGUCGUAAACCGCUUUUGACAGGGAAGAAGGAUGUGACGGUACCUGUCGAAUAAGCCCCGGCUAACUACGUGCCAGCAGCCGCGGUAAUACGUAGGGGGCGAGCGUUGUCCGAAGUUACUGGGCGUAAAGCGCGCGUAGGCGGUUCUUUAAGUCUGAGGUGAAAGGUUCAACGCUUAACGUGAACAGGGCCU
rnacentral:rRNA from 1 species